UACGUAGGGUGCGAGCGUUAAUCGGAAUUACUGGGCGUAAAGCGUGCGCAGGCGGUUUUGUAAGCCAGAUGUGAAAGCCCCGGGCUUAACCUGGGAAUGGCAUUUGGGACUGCAAGGCUUGAGUGCGGCAGAGGAGACUGGAAUUCCUGGUGUAGCAGUGAAAUGCGUAGAUAUCAGGAGGAAUACCGAUGGCGAAGGCAGGUCUCUGGGCUGACACUGACGCUCAUGCACGAAAGCGUGGGGAGCAAACAAGGAUUAGAGUACCC
rnacentral:rRNA from 1 species